CUGCUGUGGGGGAUGGAGGUGAGAUUCCCAGGUCACUGGAGUUGUGUACCUAGAAGGAUUAUGGCUGCCUCUGCUGAGUCAUGCAGGUUGUCAGGGAAGUGGGGGAAAGCUAGCUUCCAGGCACGCUGAAAGGCGGGUCUCACUCCCACAAUGCCCCUUGCGAUAGCCCGGAGUCUGUUUCCAGGCCAAAGGCGAAUUUGGCUUGAAAACUUAUCUGAGGCUUUCUACCUCCCGACUGACAAAGAAAUGGGCCUCAGUUCUUACCCCGCCUGUGAAGUCUGCAAGCCGGAUUCACGCCCUCCCCCGAGUUCUGGCCAGGAGGCUUCUUGCCGCAUUCAAUUUUUUACAAAGUUCAGCUAGAGAAGUCCUUCUCCCUGUGAAGUUUUACCCCCUGCUCCUCUGGCCACCCUCCUGAUGGAUGCCUGUGGUGCCAGGCAGGAAUGGGCUACUUGGGGAUCCAGCGGCCUUCCAGUGCCUUUGUGCUACUUCCUCUACUCCUGUAUGUUGCUCAGCUCGGCUCUCUAACUUGACUCAGCUCCAGCUUUUCUUAGUGCCUAAAGUGUCUGCAAGUGG
rnacentral:lncRNA from 10 species